GCCCUGUGUUGGAUAGUUGCUCUUUGGCGCAAGCUAAAGAGAGGAAAGUCCGAACACGCAUUUCCGGGCAUUGUCCGGAAUUAAACGUAGUGGGUAAUUCCCAUCGUCCGCAAGGAUAGAGGUGCGAACAGUGACGAACCGAUUAAGUUCGGGUGAAACGGCAAAAUCCUUACGCGCGCGCAAGAUCGUGCCCCGCCCUCUGGAUUAAUGAGCUAAAACUAACAGUAAAGUAAAGGUUGGUUGAUCCAGAGGGCGGGGAGAAUCGCUUGAGUCCGCGAGUAAUCGCGGACCUAGAUAAAUAGCCAUCAUUAGUCGCCUUUGCGGAAACGCUUUGGCAUACUGAAACAGAAUUCGGCUUAUAGACACAGAGCAAAA
rnacentral:RNase_P_RNA from 5 species